GCCUGGGUGGCUCAGUCAGUUAAGCGUCUGAUUUCAGCACAGAUCAUUAUCUCAUGGUUUGUGGGUUCGAGCCUUGCCUCGGGCU
rnacentral:tRNA from 1 species